rnacentral:rRNA from 1 species
UGAAGAUGCAGUGUACCCGCGGCAAGACGGAAAGACCCCGUGAACCUUUACUAUAGCUUGACACUGAACAUUGAGCCUUGAUGUGUAGGAUAGGUGGGAGGCUUUGAAGUGUGGACGCCAGUCUGCAUGGAGCCGACCUUGAAAUACCACCCUUUAAUGUUUGAUGUUCUAACGUGGACCCGUUACCCGGGUUGCGGACAGUGUCUGGUGGGUAGUUUGACUGGGGCGGUCUCCUCCUAAAGAGUAACGGAGGAGCACGAAGGUUGGCUAAUCCUGGUCGGACAUCAGGAGGUUAGUGCAAUGGCAUAAGCCAGCUUGACUGCGAGCGUGACGGCGCGAGCAGGUGCGAAAGCAGGUCAUAGUGAUCCGGUGGUUCUGAAUGGAAGGGCCAUCGCUCAACGGAUAAAAGGUACUCCGGGGAUAACAGGCUGAUACCGCCCAAGAGUUCAUAUCGACGGCGGUGUUUGGCACCUCGAUGUCGGCUCAUCACAUCCUGGGGCUGAAGUAGGUCCCAAGGGUAUGGCUGUUCGCCAUUUAAAGUGGUACGCGAGCUGGGUUUAGAACGUCGUGAGACAGUUCGGUCCCUAUCUGCCGUGGGCGCUGGAGAACUGAGGGGGGCUGCUCCUAGUACGAGAGGACCGGAGUGGACGCAUCACUGGUGUUCGGGUUGUCAUGCCAAUGGCACUGCCCGGUAGCUAAAUGCGGAAGAGAUAAGUGCUGAAAGCAUCUAAGCACGAAACUUGCCCCGA